CUGUGGUAAUUCUAGAGCUAAUACAUGCUUAAAAUCUCGACCUUUUGGAAGAGAUGUAUUUAUUAGAUAAAAAAUCAAUGUCUUCGGACUUCUUGAUGAUUCAUAAUAACUUUUCGAAUCGCAUGGCAUUUUGCUGGCGAUGGUUCAUUCAAAUUUCUGCCCUAUCAACUUUCGAUGGUAGGAUAGUGGCCUACCAUGGUUUCAACGGGUAACGGGGAAUAAGGGUUCGAUUCCGGAGAGGGAGCCUGAGAAACGGCUACCACAUCCAAGGAAGGCAGCAGGCGCGCAAAUUACCCAAUCCUAAUUCAGGGAGGUAGUGACAAUAAAUAACGAUACAGGGCCCUUUGGGUCUUGUAAUUGGAAUGAGUACAAUGUAAAUACCUUAACGAGGAACAAUUGGAGGGCAAGUCUGGUGCCAGCAGCCGCGGUAAUUCCAGCUCCAAUAGCGUAUAUUAAAGUUGUUGCAGUUAAAAAGCUCGUAGUUGAACUUUGGGCACGGAGGGCCGGUCCGAUUAUUUCGAGAACUGGAUACCUUUGUGCCUUUCCUUCUGGGGAACCUAUGCUCCUUGUGGGUGUAGGGGGUCCAGGAUUUUUACUUUGAAAAAAUUAGAGUGUUCAAAGCAGGCGUAUUGCUCGAAUAUAUUAGCAUGGAAUAAUAGAAUAGGACGUUUGGUUCUAUUUUGUUGGUUUCUAGGACCAUCGUAAUGAUUAAUAGGGACGGUCGGGGGCAUCAGUAUUCAAUUGUCAGAGGUGAAAUUCUUGGAUUUAUUGAAGACUAACUAC
rnacentral:rRNA from 1 species